UUUCCGUAGGUGAACCUGCGGAAGGAUCAUUCAUAAUAAAGUGUUUUAUGGCACUUUUUAAAAUCCAUAUCCAACUUGUGUGGAAUGUUAGAUCUCGUCAAUCUUGGCGAGAUUUUUAAACAACAACUCAUUCUUUAACUAAUUUGUCUGAAAAAUAUUAUGAAUACUUAAUUCAAAAUACAACUUUCAACAACGGAUCUCUUGGCUCUC
rnacentral:misc_RNA from 1 species